GACGAACGCUGGCGGCGUGCUUAACACAUGCAAGUCGAACGGAAAGGCCCUGCUUUUGUGGGGUGCUCGAGUGGCGAACGGGUGAGUAACACGUGAGUAACCUGCCCUUGACUUUGGGAUAACUUCAGGAAACUGGGGCUAAUACCGGAUAGGAGCUCCUGCUGCAUGGUGGGGGUUGGAAAGUUUCGGCGGUUGGGGAUGGACUCGCGGCUUAUCAGCUUGUUGGUGGGGUAGUGGCUUACCAAGGCUUUGACGGGUAGCCGGCCUGAGAGGGUGACCGGCCACAUUGGGGCUGAGAUACGGCCCAGACUCCUACGGGAGGCAGCAGUGGGGAAUAUUGCACAAUGGGCGGAAGCCUGAUGCAGCAACGCCGCGUGCGGGAUGACGGCCCUCGGGUUGUAAACCGCUUUCGCCUGUGACGAAGCGUGAGUGACGGUAAUGGGUAAAGAAGCACCGGCUAACUACGUGCCAGCAGCCGCGGUGAUACGUAGGGUGCGAGCGUUGUCCGGAUUUAUUGGGCGUAAAGGGCUCGUAGGUGGUUGAUCGCGUCGGAAGUGUAAUCUUGGGGCUUAACCCUGAGCGUGCUUUCGAUACGGGUUGACUUGAGGAAGGUAGGGGAGAAUGGAAUUCCUGGUGGAGCGGUGGAAUGCGCAGAUAUCAGGAGGAACACCAGUGGCGAAGGCGGUUCUCUGGGCCUUUCCUGACGCUGAGGAGCGAAAGCGUGGGGAGCGAACAGGCUUAGAUACCCUGGUAGUCCACGCCGUAAACGGUGGGUACUAGGUGUGGGGUCCAUUCCACGGGUUCCGUGCCGUAGCUAACGCUUUAAGUACCCCGCCUGGGGAGUACGGCCGCAAGGCUAAAACUCAAAGGAAUUGACGGGGCCCCGCACAAGCGGCGGAGCAUGCGGAUUAAUUCGAUGCAACGCGUAGAACCUUACCUGGGUUUGACAUGGAUCGGGAGUGCUCAGAGAUGGGUGUGCCUCUUUUGGGGUCGGUUCACAGGUGGUGCAUGGCUGUCGUCAGCUCGUGUCGUGAGAUGUUGGGUUAAGUCCCGCAACGAGCGCAACCCUUGUUCACUGUUGCCAGCACGUUAUGGUGGGGACUCAGUGGAGACCGCCGGGGUCAACUCGGAGGAAGGUGGGGAUGACGUCAAGUCAUCAUGCCCCUUAUGUCCAGGGCUUCACGCAUGCUACAAUGGCUGGUACAGAGAGUGGCGAGCCUGUGAGGGUGAGCGAAUCUCGGAAAGCCGGUCUCAGUUCGGAUUGGGGUCUGCAACUCGACCUCAUGAAGUCGGAGUCGCUAGUAAUCGCAGAUCAGCAACGCUGCGGUGAAUACGUUCCCGGGGCU
rnacentral:rRNA from 1 species